AGUGAACGCUGGCGGUAGGCCUAACACAUGCAAGUCGAACGGCAGCACAGUAAGAGCUUGCUCUUACGGGUGGCGAGUGGCGGACGGGUGAGGAAUACAUCGGCAUCUACUUUUUCGUGGGGGAUAACGUAGGGAAACUUACGCUAAUACCGCAUACGACCUACGGGUGAAAGCAGGGGAUAUUCGGACCUUGCGCGAUUGAAUGAGCCGAUGUCGGAUUAGCUAGUUGGCGGGGUAAAGGCCCACCAAGGCGACGAUCCGUAGCUGGUCUGAGAGGAUGAUCAGCCACACUGGAACUGAGACACGGUCCAGACUCCUACGGGAGGCAGCAGUGGGGAAUAUUGGACAAUGGGCGCAAGCCUGAUCCAGCCAUACCGCGUGAGUGAAGAAGGCCUUCGGGUUGUAAAGCCCUUUUGUUGGGAAAGAAAAGCAGCAGGUUAAUACCCCGCUGUUCUGACGGUACCCAAAGAAUAAGCACCGGCUAACUUCGUG
rnacentral:rRNA from 1 species